CAGUCGCCGCGGGAAAACAGAGGGUGCGAGCGUUAAUCGGAUUUACUGGGCGUAAAGCGUGCGUAGGUGGUGGUUUAAGUCCGUUGUGAAAGCCCUGGGCUCAACCUGGGAAUUGCAGUGGAUACUGGGUCACUAGAGUGUGGUAGAGGAUAGUGGAAUUUCCGGUGUAGCAGUGAAAUGCGUAGAGAUCGGAAGGAACAUCUGUGGCGAAGGCGACUAUCUGGGCCAACACUGACACUGAGGCACGAAAGCGUGGGGAGCAAACAGGAUUAGAUACCCCCGUAGUCCCUGUCUCUUAACA
rnacentral:rRNA from 1 species